CACACCUUGGGCGUGUUUUUGGUCGAACAGAAGCAGGAGACACAAGGGUUAUCCUUGUUCUUGCAAAACUCGUCAAUUGACAAGGAAUUUCAGUGUUAAUCGGCUGUAUGUUACCAGAUUUUCGAUUAACCUAACACCCUCUAUAAAGUGGCGUGAAGGAAGAAGGUUCAAAUACUAAGAAAUCGGAAGGCUCACAAGAUCGAGGUAAAAUCCUCCACUUAGGCGAUUGGACGGCUUAGAACGUGCACACUUGAUCUACGCCCACUUCACGCUUCCGUCAUAAGUUAAUUUAAUAUGGUCUUAAUUUUGGUCUUUUGUAAUUCAACUUAUAUAGUCUUUUGAUUUCCUUGUCGUUGGAUGAAAACUUGGUAGUAGUAGUCUUGUUGUAAACAAAGCAAAUAUGUCCGUUUUGGGAUUUUGUCAAGGAUGUUGUAUGUUGAAGUGUUUUACCAUAUAAAACAGGUGUCAAUGGUCUA